AGUGAACGCUGGCGGUAGGCCUAACACAUGCAAGUCGAACGGCAGCACAGUAAGAGCUUGCUCUUACGGGUGGCGAGUGGCGGACGGGUGAGGAAUACAUCGGAAUCUACUUUUUCGUGGGGGAUAACGUAGGGAAACUUACGCUAAUACCGCAUACGACCUACGGGUGAAAGCAGGGGAUCUUCGGACCUUGCGCGAUUGAAUGAGCCGAUGUCGGAUUAGCUAGUUGGCGGGGUAAAGGCCCACCAAGGCGACGAUCCGUAGCUGGUCUGAGAGGAUGAUCCGCCACACGGGAACUGAGACACGGUCCAGACUCCUACGGGAGGCAGCAGUGGGGAAUAUUGGACAAUGGGCGCAAGCCUGAUCCAGCCAUACCGCGUGGGUGAAGAAGGCCUUCGGGUUGUAAAGCCCUUUUGUUGGGAAAGAAAAGCAGCAGGUUAAUACCCCGCUGUUCUGACGGUACCCAAAGAAUAAGCACCGGCUAACUUCGUG
rnacentral:rRNA from 1 species